GGGAGGCAGCAGUGGGGAAUUUUGCGCAAUGGACGAAAGUCUGACGCAGCAACGCCGCGUGGGUGAUGAAGGUCUUCGGAUCGUAAAACCCUGUCGUCAGGGACGAAGGUUGCAUGUCGAAUAGAUGUGUAACUUGACGGUACCUGGAGAGGAAGCCCCGGCUAACUCUGUGCCAGCAGCCGCGGUAAUACAGAGGGGGCAAGCGUUAUUCGGAAUUAUUGGGCGUAAAGGGCGCGUAGGCGGUGAUGUAAGUGAGAUGUGUAAUCCCCGAGCUUAACUUGGGAACUGCAUCUCAGACUGUGUCGCUUGAGUACUGGAGAGGGUGGUGGAAUUCCACGUGUAGCGGUGAAAUGCGUAGAGAUGUGGAGGAACACCAGUGGCGAAGGCGGCCACCCGGACAGUAACUGACGCUGAGGCGCGAAAGUGUGGGGAGCAAACAGGAUUAGAUACCCGUGUAGUCCU
rnacentral:rRNA from 1 species